CAGCAGCCGCGGUAAAACGGAGGGUGCAAGCGUUAAUCGGAAUUACUGGGCGUAAAGCGCACGCAGGCGGUCUGACAAGUCAGAUGUGAAAUCCCCGGGCUUAACCUGGGAACUGCAUUUGAAACUGUCAGGCUGGAGUCUUGUAGAGGGGGGUGGAAUUCCAGGUGUAGCGGUGAAAUGCGUAGAGAUCUGGAGGAAUACCGGUGGCGAAGGCGGCCCCCUGGACAAAGACUGACGCUCAGGUGCGAAAGCGUGGGGAGCAAACAGGAUUAGAGACCCCUGUAGUCCCUGUCUCUUAUAU
rnacentral:rRNA from 1 species